rnacentral:rRNA from 1 species
AUUGAACGCUGGCGGCAGGCCUAACACAUGCAAGUCGAGCGGGGUUUUCGGACCUAGCGGCGGACGGGUGAGUAAUGCGUAGGAAGCUGCCCGAUAGAGGGGGAUACCAGUUGGAAACGACUGUUAAUACCGCAUAAUGUCUACGGACCAAAGUGUGGGACCUUCGGGCCACAUGCUAUCGGAUGCGCCUACGUGGGAUUAGCUAGUUGGUGAGGUAAUGGCUCACCAAGGCGACGAUCUCUAGCUGGUUUGAGAGGAUGAUCAGCCACACUGGAACGGAGACACGGUCCAGACUCCUACGGGAGGCAGCUGUGGGGAAUAUUGGAAAAGGGGCGCAAGCCUGAUCCAGCCAUGCCGCGUGUGUGAAGAAGGCCUUCGGGUUGUAAAGCACUUUCAGCGAGGAGGAAGGGAUGUAUGUUAAUAGCAUGCAUUUUUGACGUUACUCGCAGAAGAAGCACCGGCUAACUCUGUGCCAGCCGCCGCCGUAACAC